AUCCCACAAAGUACGUCGUAGUCCGGAUCGGAGUCUGCAACUCGACUCCGUGAAGUCGGAAUCGCUAGUAAUCGUGAAUCAGAAUGUCACGGUGAAUACGUUCCCGGGCCUUGUACACACCGCCCGUCACACCAUGGGAGUGGGCUGCACCAGAAGUAGAUAGCUUAACCUUCGGGAGGGCGUUUACCACGGUGUGGUUCAUGACUGGGGUGAAGUCGUAACAAGGUAGCCCUAGGGGAACCUGGGGCUGGAUCACCUCCUUACCUAA
rnacentral:rRNA from 1 species